rnacentral:rRNA from 1 species
UACGGAGGGAGCUAGCGUUGUUCGGAUAUACUGGGCGUAAAGCGCACGUAGGCGGCGCCGUAAGUCAGGGGUGAAAUCCCGGAGCUCAACUCCGGAACUGCCCUUAAAACUGCAGUGCUAGAAUCCUGGAGAGGCGAGUGGAAUUCCGAGUGUAGAGGUGAAAUUCGUAGAUAUUGGGAAGAACACCGGUGGCGAAGGCGGCGCUCUGGACCGAGACUGACGCUGAGGCGCGAAAGCGUGGGGAGCAAACAGG